GGGUGCAAACGUUGCUCGGAAUUAUUGGGCGUAAAGCGCACGUAGGCGGUCCUGUAAGUCGGGUGUGAAAGCCCCAGGCUUAACCUGGGAAGUGCACUCGAAACUGUAGGGCUUGAGUACGGAAGAGGGUCUCGGAAUUCCCGGUGUAGAGGUGAAAUUCGUAGAUAUCGGGAGGAACACCAGUGGCGAAGGCGGAGACCUGGGCCGAUACUGACGCUGAGGUGCGAAAGCGUGGGGAGCAAACAGG
rnacentral:rRNA from 1 species